AUGGCUCAGAUUGAACGCUGGCGGCAGGCCUAACACAUGCAAGUCGAGCGGGCAGCACGGGUACUUGUACCUGGUGGCGAGCGGCGGACGGGUGAGUAAUGCCUAGGAAUCUGCCUGGUAGUGGGGGAUAACGCUCGGAAAACGGACGCUAAUACCGCAAUACGUCCUACGGGAGAAAGCAGGGGACCUUCGGGCCUUGCGCUAUCAGAUGAGCCUAGGUCGGAUUAGCUAGUUGGUGAGGUAAUGGCUCACCAAGGCGACGAUCCGUAACUGGUCUGAGAGGAUGAUCAGUCACACUGGAACUGAGACACGGUCCAGACUCCUACGGGAGGCAGCAGUGGGGAAUAUUGGACAAUGGGCGAAAGCCUGAUCCAGCCAUGCCGCGUGUGUGAAGAA
rnacentral:rRNA from 1 species